CUUAGAUGGAAGACGAAAGAAGUAUACAAAACGUUAAGGGUGUUAUUGUAAUUAAACGAAACGACCAUGGGGUCAAUGCUCAUCUUGCUAUAAAGCUCAAAUCACAACUUCCCCAGCCAUGUCAAGAGAUUCUGAAGAAAAAUGGGAUUGCCUCAAAACAAGCUCAAGUCUUUCUGCAUCUUCAUCUUCUCUCUUCUCACUCUCACUCCAUUAGCUUUCUCAGAGAUCUUCUUAGAGGAGCAUUUCGAAGGUGGAUGGAAAAGCAGGUGGGUCUUAUCUGAUUGGAAGAGAAACGAAGGCAAAGCCGGUACCUUUAAGCACACCGCCGGUAAAUGGCCCGGCGAUCCUGACAAUAAAGGUAUUCAGACAUAUAAUGAUGCCAAGCAUUAUGCGAUAUCUGCAAAGAUUCCAGAGUUUAGCAACAAGAACCGGACACUUGUUGUCCAGUACUCAGUCAAAAUCGAACAAGACAUUGAAUGUGGUGGCGCUUACAUCAAGCUCCUCUCUGGCUACGUUAACCAGAAGCAAUUUGGUGGUGACACUCCUUACAGUCUAAUGUUUGGACCAGACAUAUGCGGCACGCAGACAAAGAAGCUUCAUGUGAUUCUUUCAUACCAGGGACAGAACUAUCCAAUUAAAAAGGAUUUGGAAUGUGAAACCGACAAGUUAAAUCACUUCUACACAUUUAUUCUGCGGCCUGAUGCUUCUUACAGCGUUCUAGUUGAUAAUAAAGAGAGGGAGUUUGGUAGUAUGUACACAGACUGGGACAUCCUUCCUCCAAGGAAGAUAAAGGUCAAAAAUGCAAAGAAGCCAGUGGACUGGGAUGACAGAGAGUAUAUUGAUGACCCUGAGGAUGUCAAACCUGAGGGUUAUGAUUUGAUCCCACGCGAAAUUCCAGACCAAAAAGCUAAAGAGCCUGAGGACUGGGAUGAGGAAGAAAAUGGUCACUGGGAACCACCAAAGAUCCCAAACCCUGCCUACAAAGGUUCUUGGAAAGCAAAGAAAAUCAAGAACCCGGAGUACAAGGGAAAAUGGAAGAACCCAUGGAUAGAUAAUCCAGAGUUUGAAGAUGAUCCAGAUCUUUAUGUUCUGAAGCCUAUAAGAUAUGCAGGCAUUGAAGUAUGGCAGGUGAAGGCUGGUUCAAUAUUUGACAAUAUAUUGAUCAGUGAUGACCCGGAAUAUGCAAGGAGCAUGGUGGAUGACUAUUUUGCUCAGCACAGAGAGUCUGAGAAGGAGUUAUUUGCGGAAGCUGAGAAAGAAAAAAAAGCUAGAGAAGAUGAGGAAGCUAGGAUAGCAAGAGAAGAAGGGGAACGUAGACGAAAAGAGAGGGGUGACCGGUAUGGACACAGGGACAGGAGGCAUCGUUACAAACGGCACCACCGACGUGGUUACAUGGACGAUUACCAUGAUGAGCUAUAAGGCGCAGUGGUGGCCUGGUGGGGGAUUUGGCAAUGACAACCAAUAAAAGCAAGUAUUCAUUAAAGUCAUCAUACCUAGAGAGCUGGAAACUAUAUGGUUGGUUUUUGUAGUUUGUAUGAUUGUAAUAUGUAUCACACUUCCUGUAAUUGUUAUUUUUUUGCGGGUAAAAAUGUAAUCGUUGGAAUUUAUAUAUUUAUAAAUGUAUUCUGAAGUUACAUUCGUUGGAUAUUUAUAAGCAUAUUGUCAAAGUUUAGAUCGCCUCGUCUCAUGAUAUUAUAAACACAAACGUUACAAAUGUAUGAACUGAAAGUUUUUUAAAAAAUACAAAAACCACAAAUGUUUACUUGGUACAGAAUAAAUAAAAAAAGACAGUAGAGAGCCAAUCCUCAACUUAUACACCCUAAUACGGAUGAUGAUGAUAUGUAUGUCGACCAUUACCGUUCUAACAACUCAUAUCCCACUCGCCAAGAAACUAUACCACAGACCAAAACAAGAAGAAGGUAAUCAAUAAGAG